AGGGUGGCCGGUGCAGCUGGUUCGCCCUGUCCGCCAGACGGGGUGUCGUAAGAGGGAACCCGGUGGGAAUCCGGGACUGCCCCGCAGCGGUGAGUGGGAACGACCGCCGUCAUACGCACUGGGUCCACGCAGGACCUGGGAAGCGACGGCCAGUAGGUGUCUGCCCCGGCAGACGUGCCCACGAGUCCGAAGACCUGCCCGUUGCCCGCACGCGAC
rnacentral:ncRNA from 2 species